rnacentral:lncRNA from 1 species
UCGGUGUUACCAUAUGUAAAUUUUGUUGAUUGGUAAUCACAUAAUUCAUUGUAUCUAUUUGUUUUGUAUCACACGGCUUCAAGAUGAGGAAGGGGGAAGGGUUAGGAAUAAUAAUCAUGAUGGCCGCCGCCUCAAGGGGAAAACCUUCUCUCCCCUACCUCUCUCAGUCUCUCAGCAUGAGCUCUCAGUCUGGUACAGGAAGGUGGUACAGGAAGUCUGUCUUAAGUGUUAGCUAAAACACAGUGUCGCAGAUUUUGCUAAGGAAAGCUCUAGUGUUGUGAUGGGUAUGCGAUGGAAUACUGACUCAUCUGCUGGAUAACUGUGAGGCGAAAGAUUUAUGAAACAUACAUUUGCAGCAAUGAACAAUUUGCACAACAUUAAUCACGUGAAAAGGAUGGAUGGCCCUUGAUUCAAUGGUGACAGCUUCAGGUUUCUAUCCUUAAGUCUAAAUGAAAAUGAGUUGAAAUAAUACCUCAAAGUCGUGUUAGAGCCAAAAGAACUCAAACACUUUUUACAACCAAUUAGCUGGUGACUGAUGUUUAGGGCAACAAAACUGAAGGAAAACUGUUAAUCAGGAUAAGUUGGUGAGAACUAACUAGAAGUAACGAAUCCACAAAAGGUUAGAUGAACAGGAAGAAGUGUAAUCUGAAAAAUUGUAACGUAGUAUUGAUAUUGUUUGUAUUAUUUAAUUGUUUGAAAAUGAGAUUCUUUAUGACGUCCGGGGAAAACAGUUCAGAUGACCCGAUGCAGUUAAGAAUUUCUGAAAAGAUUUAGGAACAAAAUAAUUAUCAUUUUUCAGACUUAGAUGGGUUAGGAUAUCUUUUUCUUCCCCCCCCCUGAAAUUGUUCCGUCAAUUAUGGUCAGAGUAUUCCCAAGCCACUUUAGUCGCCAAUAUUUCUAUCCAAACGAAACUUGAGACUAAUUUUUGUUUGUUUUUCCGUUACUCGGUUUUCAGAAUGGAUCUGGCGUACUAAACGGAACCCCAUGCAGUUCGGGUUGAAAUCACAGUCAAAAGAUGCACUGAUGAAUCUACAGUCACUAAGCUGUACCAAUGAAAAUUUCUCAUUUGUCACGUUCAUGGGACAAUCACGUCAUCAACUAGCACACCGGUCGAUUCUGAUGAGGUGAGAAGCUGGAGAUUUUCCGUUUCCUUUCUUUUGCAUUUAACUUUAAGUUUGUCUGGAUACGUUGCAAGUUUCCGUGUGUGUUCCUCGAGCCCCAAUGGAAGGGAACGAACAAGAGAAAAGAAAGAAAUGAAAAACAGAUUGUAGUUCCAUCCAUCCGGUAACUGAGUACAGGCGACACAGACCAAUGUCAGAACAAAGGCCAAAACUACCUGUUGAAAUGACCUCCAUGUUUUGGAUGGAUUGACAGAGGAAGCAAACAUUCCAUGCGGAUGGAAAGUACAAUUCUGCAUCGCCAACGCUCGAUUAGACACAGGGCUCUUUUCAAGUUUUAUACAGGCUGGAACCCGCACAGUUUCAUACCGAUUGAAAAUGCCCACGGUACGUAUUUCCACAGGUGGUCGGCACGUGAAGUAAAUAAGAAACUCGACGAGGUUUAUCGCGCGAAGGACACCCAUUUGUCAACGCGAAUCGCACCUACAGGUCUGAAUACAGGACUUCGGCCCUUUGCAAAAUUGCACGCAACAGAGCCUAUUCACAUCACUUCAAAAGUUGCAAUUAUGUUUUGAAUCACGUUUUAUGCGGAAGCUUCAACAUCACUUUAUGACACGUUCAAGAGGCGCUUCAUGUUUUGGAUGGAUUGACAGAGGAAGCAAACAUUCCGUGCGGAUGGAAAGUACAAUUCUGCAUCGCCAACGCUCGAUUAGACACUGGGCCCUUUUCAAGAUCUACCUUGUUCAUUUUCAUGCAACCCUGCCCAUUCCUCCUCAAUUUCAUUGCAAAUUAUUCAAAAUGGUGGCCGUCUGGCAUGUUCAUUGUUGAAUUGAUUCCUGUGAUGGUGAUUACAAUUCUCAGCUUUUUGACGACUGCAGCUGAAGUUUUCGUGUGCCCAAGUGCUCUUGGCAAUAGAGAUGAAAUGUUCCAAUCCAAUAAUGCAAGCUGUGUCUUUCAUAACCAGGAAUUUCUGUUUGCAAGGUUGACGCGAGUGUCUUCGUGAGGGGGACAAAAUUCCGCCAUUUGUUUCUGAGACACCGAGUGAAAAUGUAUUCCAAAUGCAUUGCGGAUUUACGGCGUCGUUCUACAUUUUCAAUCAAGAAAUUUAAUAGUUUAUGUUUAGAGAUCCCUUUACAUAUCGAGGAAUUUAAGAACACGCUAAAUCUGAACUUCAUUGCUGUCUUUCGCGUUAAUGGUUUUGUUGUAGCCAGCUGGUGAAAGGUGUGAUCAAGUUGAGCUGCAAUUGCUGCAUCAGUCUUUAGUGUUGGUGUUAUCCUGAAGUGCGAAAGCGUAACCCAACUACAACUUCACGAAGACUUCUUGAAAUGGACUCUGUGGCAAGGUGUUUUUCAACUGUACGAUGCUGUUCAAUAUGCAGUGGUUUUGCAGCCAUUUCCAGUUCAAGCUGUUUCAUGCUGCCUGUGGUGCUGGUGUUAUCCUGUAAUGUGUUGUUUGUCAAUGUCUAUCAGUCUUUGUGUGUAAUGCCUGUGUCGAUGUCUCUGUGACUUACCGAGAUGAUUGGACGUAA